rnacentral:RNase_P_RNA from 1 species
GUUGGGCAGUCCGUCGCUUUUGCUCCUGUGGCAAACGAGGAAAGUCCGGGCAACAUAGAGCAUUCCGCUUCUUAAUGGGAAGUCGUUCGUGAGAGCGAAUACGUGCAGAAGAAAAGAACCGCCUAUUCCUAGUGAAAAAGUUGCGAACCAACUGGUUCUCAAUGAUAGACUAAGAGGAGGUAAGGGUGAGAAGGUGGGGUAAGAGCCCACCAGUCGUGUGGUGACACACGGGCUGUGCACCUCGGAAGUUGAAAGUUCACGUAAACUGGUGUCAUCAGGGCGGCUCGUCCGAGAGUUUUUGACUCACAUCAGAGGGUAGAACGAUAGAGUGCGUUGGUGACAGCGCACCCAGAUAAAUGACGGACACCUUGUUUCUUCUGAAUCAAGGCACAAAACCCGGCUUAUCGUCCAACUGU